rnacentral:lncRNA from 1 species
AAAAUAUAAGGAACUAACCAAGAAAAGACGAGUGAAUUUAAAGUAAAAAUAUAUAUAAAUAUGAUCCGAUCACUAAUCUAAUAUAAAUUGAUUUGGAAACACAAAAACUAAACUUAAAGACUCUAACAAGACUACUAUGACUCAAAACAUAUUUGAAACACUCAAAACUGCCUAAAACAAUCAAAUUGACUCAAACAGAAACUAGAACUUGAUUUGGACGAAUUUAAAAGUGUUUAUGACUCCAAUUGCUUAAAAACACAAAAUAAAACAGAUUUGAAUGACUAAGACUCAACAAAAUAUGGGGGGAUUGUGUUUGGACGAAAUUAAAUUAAUGGGCAGAUUGUACAGAAAACGGAUUGUAAGACAAAAUUGUGAUGAAUCAAUGGAUGAUGGAAUAGCUAAGGGAUUCUUCUCCACACAUGAAAUACAUGCAACGUAAAUCGAUUUCCAGUUAUCAAUUUAAUAAGUUAUGAACCUCGAUACUCCAAGUUAAUUAGGUCCGCUUAAAUUAACCUUCAGAUUUCCUUUGAAUCAUUGAAUUGGAUGAAUAUGCAUCGCAAACAAAUUAUUCCUAACAAGUUCUCUAUAUGAACAGCAUGAUAAAGACACAAGUUAGAAUCAUUACGUUCCGUGGAAAUCAUAAGCAUUGACAAGGCAUUUGUAACUAUGAAAAGCAUGAUACUCUUGCCAGGAAUCUACUUAACACGAUCGUGACUAGCGACCUUCACUACUUGCGAAUAUAACGAUUAGGUGAAACAAACUUAUAUCCUAGCACCAAAUUCAUGCAUGCAAAUUAAGCGUGCACUCUCAAUCAACAUACAAGAAUAAGUUCAAAAUCAAACGGUUAAGCAAAUUGUAUUCACGACUUAUGCAACGAUAACUGGACGUAAUCAACUUAUUUCACAUAUAUAAUCAUGGUUUUGAAUACACCCUUAGCCAAAACGAAAUUAGCCAAUCAUACUUAAAGCAAAACAAAGAUUAAAUGAAUUAGACAUUGAAAUAUAAGAUAGAAUACACCUAAAAUUGUUCAACAACUUGAUAGGAGCAUAUUUAUGCGCCUUAAUUGGCUAGUUCUUAUGCUUUUCCAUGGUGUUUUCUUAGUUAAAGUAGUCUUUUAAGCUAGUUUUAUGUGUUUUCAGGUUUUAAGGCCAAAGGA